rnacentral:rRNA from 1 species
UGGGGAAUUUUGGACAAUGGGGGCAACCCUGAUCCAGCCAUUCCGCGUGAGUGAAGAAGGCCUUCGGGUUGUAAAGCUCUUUCAGCAGGAACGAAACGGUCGGCUUUAGUAAAGUCGGCUAAUGACGGUACCUGCAGAAGAAGCACCGGCUAACUACGUGCCAGCAGCCGCGGUAAUACGUAGGGUGCGAGCGUUAAUCGGAAUUACUGGGCGUAAAGCGUGCGCAGGCGGCGACAUAAGACAGAUGUGAAAUCCCCGGGCUCAACCUGGGAACUGCGUUUGUGACUGUGUUGCUAGAGUGUAGCAGAGGGGGGUGGAAUUCCACGUGUAGCAGUGAAAUGCGUAGAGAUGUGGAGGAACACCGAUGGCGAAGGCAGCCCCCUGGGUUAACACUGACGCUCAUGCACGAAAGCGUGGGGAGCAAACAGGAUUAGAUACCCGAGUAGUCCCUGAGCGGGCUGGCAAGGCGCAU